rfam:Eucalyptus grandis cultivar BRASTZ1 unplaced genomic scaffold scaffold_1, whole genome shotgun sequence.
UGAUAUCCAGAUUGAUGAUUGAAUUAGAUGUGUGAACGGCAAUUUCUUCAUGAUCUCAAUAUCAUGAGGCUUACUAAUAUUCUGACUUGUUACCA